GAUUGGGUCUUUGGCGGCAGAAGCCGUCGAACCGCGUCAGGUCCGGAAGGAAGCAGCGCUAAGGCGUCUCUUCUGGGUGCCCAGAAUCACCUGGUCGUC
rnacentral:SRP_RNA from 1 species